UAUCAGUCUACGGGUAGAAUUAGGUGUUGUCUUAAUCUGUUAGUGCUGCCAUCACAGAGUACCUGAGACCAGAUGAUUUACAAAGAACACAGAUGUAUUUUCUGACAGUUCUGGAGGUUGGAAAAUGCAAGACCUAGGCACCAGUAGGUUCAUGGUCCAGUUUCUGAUUCCAUGACGACCCCUUGAACACAGCGUCCUCUGAAAGGGAGGACUGCUGUGUCUUCCCACGGCAGAAGAUGCUUGAAGUCCUUUUGUAAGGGCACCUCAUCCCGUUCACGAACUCCUGGAGACCAUCUCUCCUAAUACUGUUGUUUUGGGGAUUGUUUCAAGAUGAAUUUUGGAGGGGUCAAGAAUAUUCAAACCAUAGCAGGUACAAUAUAUGAAUCGGUAUCUUGAAAAAACUGUGUUGUGGCAUAAUGGGUUACCGCCCUGGCCUGAAGCACAGGCAUCCCAUAUGGGUGCCGGUUCGAGACCCGGCUGCUCCACUUCCAAUCCAGCUCUCUGUUAUGGUUUGGGAAAGCAGUAGAAGAUGGCCCAAGUCCUUGGGCCCCUGCACUGCAUGGGAGACCUGGAAAAAGCCCCUGGCUCUGUCUUCGGAUCGGCACAGCUCCAGCCGUUGCAGCCAAUUGGAGAAUGAACCAGCGGAUGGAAGACCUAUCUCUCUCUCUCUCUCUGCCUCUCCUCUCUUUGUGUAACUCUGACUUUCAAAUAAAUAAAUAAAUCUUAAAAAAAAAAAACAAAAACAAAACUGUGAUCUCAAUUAAAAGACUAAUCAUAGAAGCAUUAAUGAAAUUGACCAAAAAUGAAUAAGGCUAACCAUCGGGUACAACCUUAAAAUUUUUCCACGCUAGGCCUCACUCAACUGGCUGAGUAACCAGACACAUUUCUUCACUUAGCUGCCCAAAUCGGGGAAUGAGGGAUUUACUGUAUUUUGCUGGGCAGUCAGUGCCAUGUGCUGGGAGAUUCUUGGGCAGAAGAUUGAAAUAUCUGAAAUAUUGCUGUUGACAGAAGUAAAUCGAAUGUCAAAACCUUCAAGGUUCUGCUCAUCACUUCAGCAAAGAAAGCUAUGUAGAACAUUUCUGGUGAAAUAGAAUCCAGAACCUAAUACACAUUUCUUGCAAAUUAGUUUCGUAGGAUAAAGUACCAUUUCAUUGUGACAGCCAUGCUUAUGUUAACAUUUGACUUGGAAGAAACCCUCAAACCUGCCAACCAAAAAAUAACUGAAUUGCUCUCUUUUUGUAGAUUAAAAAAAAAAUAGAAGAAGAAAUAAAUCCAGGAAAAAAAAAAGACCCAGGAAAGGAAAACGUUCAUAGUUCUGCUAAAUUUUACUUGAACUUCCCCAGCUAUCAACAGCAAAGAUUAGUACCAAUGCUUAAUUUUGAUGGCAUCUGUGGGACAUCAGAUAAAACUACACAGUUCUUUUUCUGGGAUUGGUUACUUCUAGCAUAUAUCUUCAGAUACUUUUCAACAAAAAUAAGAGGCAAAGUAGAAACAGAGAGGUGGUAACUUUCUCUGCACUGGCCUCCACCUCUCAUCCGGCCCAGUGGAGUAAAGGCCUUGAAAAUUCAGACCAAGCCAGCUGUGAACACACUCAUAGAGAGAUGAUCUGGGGGCUGUCCUCCAGCCCAGGAUCCCAGACGUUCCGGGGCCCAGGCACACUUGGCAGAGCAUCCUUGGGACAAGCAUGUUUGGUUACCAGGUCAGCAUCCUACUUCCCCAACCUUGGAGGCAACUGAGGAAGACAGGAGACAAAACCAUGCUGACAUUGAUCAGCAAGGACCGGGCCAGCAAGCCGGAGAGCAAACUAAAGGCACUGCUGUGAUCUGGACUAGAGAAAUGAAGAGGUGUACCCUCUGCCUGCAUCACAUAGGGUGACAGUAACAAAGGCCCUAUCAACACAGCUGGCUUGUCCUAAAUACAAGGCAUUUUUCCCACUGGGGAGUUGGGGGGGAACAACCCUGGCCCAGCCGGACAUAAUAAGAUAAAGCCUAACGUGCUUACCAGACCUGGACUUUCCCACUGCAGGUCAAAGCCAGUGGGCAGAAAUUUCAAGAGGAAACUGGUUCUGGCCUCUUGUUCAUAGAUCCAUUGCCAUUUAGUUAACUGUACUCAGACUGUAAGGCAACACCACGUGUCCAGAGCUGACUGAGUGAUAAGACAGCUGAAAAGUUCCUGGAAAAAGCAGUCAACGUCUCAAAGCCGCCUUACUAAACCCCAGGCCCUGUGAGGUGUUACUUCAUGUACUCAUCAAAGUCACCCUAUGAGGGAACCCAGGAUGGAACACUGUGCUGCUUUCUAGCUGUAGGCUAGGAAGCAGCUCCUUUAAUUGACACAAGACUGACAACUUUGCAAA